UGAAAGGUCAUUCCGUAGAAAAGUGCC
rnacentral:sRNA from 1 species